GUCGACUAUGGCCACAGUAAAUGACUCUUAAAAUGAGACCAUCGUUCAUUAGUGCAAGUCGAAUAUGGCCACAGUAAAUGACUCUAAAAACGACACCAUCGUACAUAACUGCAAGUCGACUAUGGCCACAGUAAAUGACUCUUAAAAUGUCACCACUGUUUUCAUUACUGCAAGUCGACUAUGGCCACAGUAAAUGAUUCUUAAAAUGACACCAUCGUUCAUUACUGCUAGUCGACUAUGGCCACAGUUAAUGACUCUUAAAAUGACACCACCGUUCAUUACUGGAAGUCGACUAUGGCCACAGUAAAUGACUCUUUAAAUGUCACCACUGUUCAUUACUGCAGUUCGACUAUGGUCACAGUAAAUGACUCUUAAAAUGACACUAUCGUUCAUUACUGCAAGUCGACAAUGGCCACCGUAAAACCAUCGUUCAUUACUGAAAGUCGACUAUGGCCACAGUAAAUGACUCUUAAAGUGAGCAAUGGUAUCAUAGGAUUUCUACAUGUUUUAGUGGUUACAAUAUUGUAAAAGAAAGUCAUAUAUAUUUUACUCUUCAUUGGAUCACAUAAGUUCAUAGGAAUUUGGUCGAAGUUCUAUCGCCAUUUCAUUCCGAUCUCUUUAUAUAUAUUUCAGUGACGUUUUGUGGUUGCUUAACCAUUGCAAAUGUAUUACAAACGUAGACGCGGCACCAAAAAGUUCCAUCGGAUAUGGAUUUUGCGUUUUCGCGUUAGAGGCACUGAAUGUCGUGGAGAAAAACAUCCAAGAUACCUUUUCAGAAAACGGGAACCACCCUUUGGUAAAGCUCGUAGCUAACGAAAAGCUGAAAUCAGCUUUCAAGAAGAACAAAAGACUAGUUUCAUCGUAUACAGAAUCCGUCCUCGUCAAGGAAGCGUGUUCAGUGAUCAUGCACGAGGCGACUGGAUGUAGUUAUAAAGAGGCCACAGAGGCUCUGCAACGAACGGUGGCCAAAAGUUUUUUCACAGCAUAUAGCCUGGCAACAACUCACCGCUCGAGCAUAAAAGAAUAUUGGUCAAGCGCCCUAGCGGAUAGACGUAAAGCCUGGUGAACACAAAGACGCUAACAUCCUGCAGAAAAGUUCAACAUGGCUGACAACACCGUACGGUCGGAAGAUGUGUAAGGACAAAAGUGGGAUCGUUGCAUUACAGACACCGGUUUACUGUUAACUGUUGAGUUAUCGAUUCCUACAGAACUUAAGUGUGCACCACUGCAGUAUGAUGACAUUUAAGUUUUAUAGACUUUCAUGCAAUAGUUACUGUCACACAGCUCCGGACAUUGAAAGUGGAAGGACGGAGAACCACACAGAAACAAUAUCGGCGAAUGAUGAUGUAUAUUUGUUUUAAGUUUCGUGAAAUAGGUACUGUGAAACAGCCCCGGACGUACAACCUUCCUGAAUUUCAAUCUAUUAAGGGGCAAUAAAUUAAUUACGCGUGCACCGCAGUAUGAUUGAACACAUUCAUAUUAAGUUUAAUGAAAUUUAAUAAAUAAUUAUUGAUUAACACCUCCGGACAUCGCCAAAAUAAUAUUCCUUCACUGUCUUAGAGGGGUAAAAAGCCAUCAUAAGGGAGGUGUCAUUUUGUCUACUUACAAGAGUUGGUGCAUUCGGAUUAAAUGCGUAUUCUACAUGCAAUAAUAAAUGCAUGCAAAAAUAAAUAUCUUUCUUGCAACAAGCGUAAAUCUACUGCAAAUCUUAGCAAAACAUUUGCAAACGUAUGUGCGUGUGUAUAGUGACGCAAUCAUACGUUUUUCCAUAGAUAAU